GCCUAUGAAGACGUUCAAGGUUUCUUGAAUGCAUCUAUUCCCGCUGCUGGUGUGUUCUGUGAUUUGGUUAAGGCUCUGGAUAAAAAAUGUGAAAACAUUGACAAGGUCUGCGGGUCAUUAAAACACCUCACAGUUGGUAAGUCCAGAAGUUGGUUCAUGAGAGAGAUUUUGAAGGGCCUUAAGUUUGAAAUAAUAAGUAAUUACACAAAUGAACACAAUUAUAUUUUUCCUCCAAUAGUUUGCUUGCAACAUUUAUUAUUGUGUGUUUGACGUUCUCAUUUGUAGACUGUAUAUCCUACAUGUUGUAUCGAUUUAUAUUUCUAAUGUAUUAUCACAGCUAUAUGUGAUCCACAUAUCUGUAAUUCACAUCGCUAUGAUCUAAGCACAGUGGUCCCCCCAACCUUUUUCGCCUCACAGACCGUUUUCCUGUUAGACAAUAUCCCGCAACUCGUUGGUUGUCGACUUCUGAGUAAGGGACUGAUUUUCUUCCACAAUCUUCUGUCUACAAGACACCAAUCCAGCACUGCAUAAAUAAAAUUGCUUGGUUCUUAACAGAUGAUCUACGCAUGUAAAACAAAUGGAUACCUUUCUGGUUUCAUAUCAUACAUAUGACCUCGCAGCCAUCAGCAUUACUCAAGUUUUUGGUGUGUAAUUUAGGAAAAUAUUUUACUUUGACCUUUUGUUUAACCCCCCCCUCUUCUCUGCUUUUGUCACCUUUUACAGAGACACCUGAAUCAAUAACCCAAGCUGAAGACAAAGAACAUUCAGUAAUUUCUGAGGAGAAACUCCCUUCAGAUGCUGCAAUUCUUGCAUCUGCAAUUAUUGAGAGACCUGAGAAUAACCCGGAGAGACCACCACCACCACUGCCUCCCAUACAAGCUAUACUCCCAGAGAUCUGUAACACCAUACCAAUGAAACUAAAACAACUAAUGAUCUGGGGAUGUGAGGAAGAUGUCCAGGUGCAAGACCAAAAACAAACAUCCUCUCAGCUGCUUCACUUCCUCAGAGCAAAAAACUAAAAACAUGGGUGCACUAGAGGCCACGGUCAAGAGCAUGUGCGCUUCAAGUUUGCCACAGGGGCCUACUGUCAAAAAACAGGGCUACCAAUUCAGACAAGUUGUGAUAAAUGCACUGGCUCCAAAAACAUUAUGUGCAGACAUUGAGAACCAAGGCCCAGUUUUCCGGGUUAAGAGAGUGCAAUUGAGUGGCUCUGUAACCUACACUUUGGUAAUUGCAACAAAGACUGAAUUAUGGGAUAUUGGAGACAUAUUCACAGAGGUGGGACAUGGGGAGUCUGAAGCUCAUCGCUCUGAUAACAAAGAGUGCCCAAAUCAAACAGCUCAAGCGGACUCCAGUCUAAACAUCCAGUUGAAGAGCCAAGCCCUCCAAUGCACAGAACCUGAACAUGUGAGCCGUGUGGCCGACGCAAAAGGACCAGCGGUUCACUGCAUUCCCAUUCCUGACUUCCAAAUACGGAGGUUUGAAGAGACUGAAGUUGUGGUGUCUUGUAUUGUGAGCCCGGGCCACUUCUACGUACAGCAUGCAGAUGCCGUGGUGACGCUGCAGGCCCUGUUCGCCGACAGCUGCAACGCCAGUAGUUCACACGCCGAGCCAAGCUGCAUUCCAGACAUUGGAGCGAAAGUAAUGGGUUGGUUCCCUAAGCAAGGACAAUGGUGCAGGGUUCAGGUGACGAAGAUCUGUGGAGUGAGUAGAGACAAUAAUACCGCUGAUGGUGCCGGGAGUGGGACAUCCAUCAAGUUGGAGGUGAAGAAGCUGGACUACGGGGACACCGCCUGCCUGUCCCUGUUGAACAUCAAAGAGCUGACCCCAGAAAUGGCCGUCCUUCCUCUGCAGGCUGUCAAGGUCUCGAUGGAAAACGUGACGCCUGUGAAUGGGAGUGACUGGUCUGAGGAGGCAGUGGGCUGGUUCAAAGCAAUAGUGCACAACAGAAUGCUCUAUGCCAGACUUUACCCGCAGGGGCCCACGGUUACAGUCGAGCUGUUCCUGGAAAAGGGAAAACUUGGAGCUAUGAGGAGGGGUGCGUCCCUGUCUUUGAGGCUGGCCCAGAACGGACACGCCAAACAUAACAAACUGUGCAACAUGGGUCUCGUGAAAAUAAGCGCAACUCAACAGAAAAAGAGACAACAGGAGUUGGAGUGGGAGAAGUACCUCAUCUCGUGCUAUAUUCAAAGUAAGAAGUAAUUCAGAGUAGCGAAGGUUUCUAGUUUUGUUUGGCAGCCAACAAACCGUAUCAAAUCUGAAUAGUAAUGGCGGAUAUUUAAAUAUAUAUGUGUGUAAUGUAAAUGCCCAUUGUAAUAAGGCUGAACGCACUGAUUGGACUGGCACACAAUAAGUAACUUGUAUGUCUGGUGAUUGUAGUGUAGUGUGUUGUAGUGAGUGUAAAGAUAAUGUUCUCUAUAACAUCAUUGCAACUAAAUAAUAUAUGUCCAGUAUUUAUGGAACGUACAUUCAUGUUGAUUGUUUUCCUUGAGGAUUUGAUAAAUAUUGGUUUUAUUAAUAACUUUUUUAGACUGCAUGUAGGAUGUGUGGGGACAUGAACACCUAAUAGUAUUAUUUAAACGUCUUAUUUAGAACAUUUUCCCUUUGUACUUAACACCUGGCAUUUGCUACAAAACAGGAAGUGAUCCUGAGGAACUGUAUGUGAUGCAUACAGUAGGUCUGUUAUUUCCUUCUCCUUUCACAAUAAUCAUUGUUUGAGCUGUGUUGGUUUAGUUGAUAUUUCUGUGUUGUACAGUGGCGGCUGUAUUAUUAUUAUUUUGAAUUAACAUUGUAGCUCUCCUUUCAUAAUAAAACUGUACUCCACAAGCGCUUGCUGUCUCCGUAUUGUAGAUGAACGUGUCUUCCAGAGAGGGAAUGUAAAUGAGUUUUAGUUCAUUCAUAGAACUACCAGGCCACUCAAAUCCUCCCACUGCAUUUGUCAUAAGUGAUGCAGAGCAGCUCAUUGCAAAGUGAGCUGCUGUAGACGAUCAGAGUCCAUCACACGUGACCACAUUGUGUUUCCACUUGCAGUCUGUUGCUACUGUAAAUCAAUGUUUCUACUGUUAUAGGCAGGAGUUUGAACACUACAAAAUGUGCAAUCUCAGUUGAUCAAAAGACUUUUUUUUGUUCAAAUGCUGUAGAUUCGUCAAAGGCACAUGUGUGUUGCGUAGCAGAAGGACAUUUCCAACUAUUGCUUAAAAUGUGUUAAAUCCACGGUCAUGAGUCGGCAUGCAAAAUAAAAUAUUUGGAACAGCACCUAGCACACAGUAUUUUUAAAGUUAAUUUAGUUCCAUGUUUAUAAUUGCAAACAUUGCAUUUUACAUCAUCGCAGCAAUUAUAUUUGGCACAUAGUUAAGUUGCAAAAAUCCUCAAACAAAUGCAAGUACUGGUGAAAUAAAAUGACGUUUAUGAAUGUCAUUUUCUACUACAUUGUAUCUUCCCGUAUGUAUUUUCUGGGUGACUCCGUGCUCUGAAUGUCAGUGACUCCGAUCAAAAGCUUGCUUCACUUCUCUGCCCUGCCAAGCGCGAGGCCUUCGGUGUCCACGCAGAUUCCUCCUCUUGCCCGGGGUAGGCGGAAAUCGAGGCGUUUGAACUGAAUUCUAAAGAGUCUUGUUGCAGCCUAAUAAAGGCCGCCAUUGUAUGUAAAUAGUUUAUAUAAGCGCAUAUGACUGCCCGGUGCAGGGCACUGGCUAGUGGCGGAGGAAUGAUUAGCAUUUUCCAAAGGCAUGCUUCUCCAUCCAGCCUCCUGCCUCGCUGAAACCCCCUCCCAAUAUUUUAAUUCAUAUCUUCUUGGUACACACUUUUGUGUACCACCACAGCUGAAGGUAAAAUGUCCUCUCAUUCAACCUGUUUUGUACUAACUGUCAGUAUGCGAUGAGGUAGUGUGUGUGUGUGUGUGAUGCUGGUCACGCCGCAUUGCCUCAACUAUUGUCAUUUAUAAUCACAUCUUUUAAAUGAUUCAGCUUUUUUAACGUGACAGGUUUUUUAUUCUGCUGGAUUCUGUGGUCUUUCUGACAAACAAUAGAGGUCUCUCACUUGUCUUAAGGGGGAAAAAAAACAAAAAAAAUGCUUGUUCCUUGGAGAUAUUUGCUGGCAGUCUGUCAGUCUGUCUGUAACUGGGCUGUAGGUCAGUUUGGGAGUACGGUAUUAAUUCAGGGUGAGCCAAUCACGUGGCGCAGACAGUCUUUGGCAAUUGGCUUCGUCGCCGUUGCGUCUCGUGACCGCGGCCGUAGGCCAUCACCCCUGCUCUUAUACGGCCGACUUGCCGCUGGGAAACUUGCUUUUCUGUUGCUCCUCACUCUGCCAGCUUGAUGCUCGGUACGCACCUCAAGAUGGUCAUCUUUGGACCCGGCGCUGCGAACGCCGCUGACACCGCCGGCUGAGCCUGGUAACCCUCCGUAAAGAAUGAAGUUAGACUUUUUAACAAAAUGACUCAAUUGUUUUGGACCAAAGCAAAAAGGAAAUUAUUUACACAGAUAAUCCUUUGCUUCAAUUAAUACAUUUUCUAA
ensembl:lncRNA